rnacentral:rRNA from 1 species
GACGAACGCUGGCGGCGUGCUUAACACAUGCAAGUCGAACGAAGUGGCGAACGGGUGAGUAACGCGUAAUCAACCUGCCCUUCAGAGGGGGAUUACAGUUGGAAUCGACUGCUAAUACCGCAUACUGAAGGAGGGGAUUGCGUCUGAUUAGCUAGUUGGAGGGGUAACGGCCCACCAAGGCGAUGAUCAGUAGCCGGGCUGAGGGGAUGAACGGCCCAAUUGGGACUGGGACACUGCCCAGACGCCUACGGGAGGCAGGAGGGGGGAAUCUUCCGAAAUGGACGAAAGUCUGACGGAGCAACGCCGCGUGAGUGAUGAUGGCCUUCGGGUUGUAAAGCUCUGUUAAUCGGGACGCGGUACCGGAAUAGAAAGCCACGGCUAACUACGUGCCAGCAGCCGCGGUAAUAC